UACGGAGGAUCCGAGCGUUAUCCGGAUUUAUUGGGUUUAAAGGGUGCGCAGGCGGGAGAUUAAGUCGGCGGUGAAAUUUUGCAGCUCAAAUGUAAAAGUGCCUUCGAAACUGGUUUCCUUGAGUGUAGAUGAAGUAGGCGGAAUUUGUGGUGUAGCGGUGAAAUGCAUAGAUAUCACGAGGAACUCCGAUUGCGCAGGCAGCUUACUAAACUACUACUGACGCUCAGGCACGAAGGCGUGGGGAUCAAACAGGAUUAGAUACCCCGGUAGUCCCU
rnacentral:rRNA from 1 species